rnacentral:lncRNA from 1 species
UCUGUCAGAUCGGCGGUCACUAGCAAGCCAAUCAUGCCUAGAUGCAUGCCCGUGCAUCUCCCGACGUCGAUUCCUUCGGAUCGGAGGAUUUUCGAUGCUAGAUUCCGUCAGAUUGAUAGCCCCAGUGACUUUGGCUCCCCUCCUCACGUUCGUGUGCAUCUCCGGCAUUAAACCCCAUCAAAUCUGAAGCAUCUCGAUGUUUGGCCCUAUUAGGUCAAUAGUUUUUCGGCCUCAAAACUCUCUC